AAUACUGGAGGAAGAUGAUGAAAGUUUUGUGUUGUUGCAGCUAAACGUCUGCUUUAUGCUGAAUGAGCUUCAGUGACUUAUUGAAGAAUUGCCUUAGAAGUCUGUGGUAGAUUCAGGGAAUGAAUGCAUCUCAGAACUUUGUAGAAAACGUCUCACUGGCUGCAACAAGACUUUUCAAGCCUCUGUACAUGAAGAAUGAGAAAUUUGAGGAUAUUGGUUGGGUAUGUAAUAAAAACAGGCUAAAAAAGA
rnacentral:lncRNA from 1 species